UUGCUCUUUUUCUUCGUGCUUGAAGUAAUUUUAGUUUUUCCUCUUAUCCUACCAUUAAUAAUAAGAAGCAUCAAAUGUAAAAGGUAAUAUUGUUACUGAUUUUCGCAAGAAAAACUGGUGCAUUGUUCGGAAGGUAUUUUGCUGGCUACCGAUUUUGGCAAGGGAAACCGGUGCGCCAUUCGGAAGGUAUUGCCAGAUAUUGAUCCACUUAGUUUCGCUUUGUAUGUUUUGGGAGGUGCCUUUAGGCAUGGUGAUCAAUAGGGUGCAAGGAUACUGAAAAGCAGUGACAGAGCCCUGUUCCUUGGCGACGGAAGGGGUUUGCCCUAUUUCGGUCAGAUCAAAGUGGAUUUCGUUGGUUUGGUUUAGUAGCUGAUCUGAAACACCAUGACAAGCCGCCUAAUCAAACUGAUGAGGACUGUACAUCUAUUGCAGUUUUUGACUAAAAGGGACCUGUUGGAAGGUCGAAUGCCGGAGCUUAAAGGCUAGAUCUUCAGCUCCUUGCAAUCUUAAAUUCAGCUUAAAUCUGGCAUUCUCUAAAUUCCAAAUUGACAGCAGAAUAAUAUUCACCUUACUCUGUCAAGGAAAAAAAUGGUAGUCUACAUUCAAACAUUAUGGAUUGGAAAGCAAGGGGAGGAGGAUUAUUUUACUGCAGAACAAAACUCGAUAUAGAGCUAGAGAGAGACAAAGGAGAUUGCAACGAAGCAGGAGGUAUGGAUGAGAAUUUUCAAUUCCAACUGCAUCUACAUGCAUUAUAGUUUGACGAUGGUUCAUUCAAAUGUAAACAUAGUUCCAUAAACCUUUUCAAAUGUGAACUGAUGGUUUAAGGUAGCAAGUCUGGUCUUCUAAUAGUAAAGAAGUCAGAAUUGGAUUGCAAAUUGUAGCUUGAAACUUUAAGUGAUUAUCUCAUGUGUUGAUCAGUUCUUUUGUGUCAUUGUUGCGCCUAAGGGAAUGUAUUCAGUCCUUACCUUAGACAACUUGAGUUUCUCAAUAACUGAAUCUUUUUUCCAUAUUUUAUUAUUUUGUAAGUUGUUCUAAAAAGUUGUUUUGCCCACCCAUAAAAAAUUACAUUCAUAGUACUAUAGUAGCAUGUUUAGCCAAAACUAGACGUAAAAAAAAGAAAAAGGACUAUUGCCUUUUGCAUUGUUCGAAGCUGCUGUUUCAAAAAAAUAGGCUGCAUAAAUUAACUUCGCAUAUUGUAUACAUCACCAAAUAGGGCUAAAAGAGUUCCUUGAUAUCUAGGACUUGCUCAAAAGAGUUCCUAGGGUUCCAAGAGACUUCGUUUGGUUACAAGAGACUUACUUUUGAGCAAGUCCAAUGAUAAAUGCAACACUAUAAUUUGAACCCGGAAAUCAUUUCCGUCAAUGGAUAGACAUUAGGCAUAGAUUCAUCAGUUUUUGCCACGUCAAGUAACAAAGGAACCAUUGUCGAUUCUCGAACAACCUUGACAUACGUAGCUGAAGAAGCCUUUGAUCCUUUUGUUAGUGGUGUAAAUCACGAAAGAGCAAUUCAUUAAAUAUUUGGUAAUGUGAUUGUCAACCAUUGUCUGAAUUUUUUUUUUAAAUAUGUUCUUUGUUGUCCUACCCUUAUAUAAGAAGCAGCAGUUUUUCGGCUGCCAUUUCCCAAUUUGGAACAACUUUGCCGCUCAAUUGGAGAUUGCUGUGUGUUGGCAUUUGAGGGUAGUUGCGUCGUUUCACUCUUGAAAAAAUUUGGUUCCUAUAAACUUUGCAAGUAAAGUUGUUUAUUAUAGAACUUUAAUUGUGAUGUUUUGAUCUUAAAAAGUGGGCGUUUUGCCACAUAAUUUAGUGUGGCUUUUUGCUGACUUUAGUAGGUGGUUCUUUUGUUGGUUGGAGUUUUCUAGAAUUUGUAGCAAUGAUACGCAUUGUCUAUUUUUUAUAGAUUGAUGUCCUCUCUUUUUUUUUUGAUCGGCGAUUGAUUUCCUCUCUUGCAUUCUUUUUGUCCUAUUUCUCUAUGCCUUUUGCUUUUUCCAUUCUAUUGAUUUACUCAUUUCAAUGUUGUUCUUUUUUUCUUUUAUAGUUCGGCGAUCUAUUGCAGCUGCUUGGCUUCGGAUUAGAUGAUAAAACUUCUCGGCGCUUAUAUUCUUGACUACCUUUCGUCAGGUAUCUUUUCUCUUCUUUUGCAUUUUUUCCAGAUUACAUUGUAGUUGGAAAUACAAUUUGGUUUGUGAUUCUAGAUUUUAUUUUCCUGGUGUGGAACAUGUAAUUUGGAAACGCAUUGUUCGUCUAUCUUUUAUUGAUAGUUGUGUCAUCGUCGAAAAUAUUUGUUACGAGAAAUAUUGAAUGCCUCUUCAACUUUUUUCCUUCUUCCUCAAA